GUGAAUCAUCAAAUCUUUGAACGCAAAUUGCACUUUCUGGUAUUCCGGAAAGUAUGCCUGUUUGAGGGUCAGUUAAAUAAAAAUCGGUGUUGUUGCUGCUUUUAUUGGGGACGCGUCGGAUUUGAGUUUUCUUCGUUUGGGUUAAUUGACUUAAAAUUUGUCUUGAUUUUCGAACGUAUUUAAUUUUCUUACGUACGUUUGAGAUAUCAAAUACUUUUUUAGGUUGGAUCUUCAUCAUGAUUCGACCCUCUAAUUUUUCUUUAAAU
rnacentral:misc_RNA from 1 species